UCGAGGAUCUUCUGCAAUGGGCGCAAGCCUGACAGAGCGACGCCGCGUGUGCGAUGAAGGCCUUCGGGUUGUAAAGCACUGUCGAGGGGGAGGAAAGCCGCAAGGUCUGACCUAUCCCUGGAGGAAGGACGGGCUAAGUUCGUGCCAGCAGCCGCGGUAAGACGAACCGUCCUAACGUUGUUCGGAAUCACUGGGCUUAAAGGGCGCGUAGGCGGGUCGGUAAGUCCGGGGUGAAAGCCCCCAGCUCAACUGGGGAAGUGCCUUGGAAACUGCCGGUCUCGAGGGAGGUAGGGGCAUGUGGAACUUCGGGUGGAGCGGUGAAAUGCGUUGAUAUCCGAAGGAACGCCGGUGGCGAAAGCGACGUGCUGGACCUCUUCUGACGCUGAGGCGCGAAAGCCAGGGGAGCAAACGG
rnacentral:rRNA from 1 species